GUGGAGAUGGCCCAGCCUGGUAAGGCGUAGGACUGCUAAUCCUAUGUCGCUAUGCGACCCGAGGGUUCGAAUCCCCCUCUCCACGCCA
rnacentral:tRNA from 1 species